GAGAGCCGGAUGGAGGGGAGACCCUCACAUCCGGUUCGGAGGGCGGGGAUUAUCCCGGACCUACUUCAUUAUGCCUUCUGCAAUGUUACUUGGUUCAACUCUAU
rnacentral:ncRNA from 1 species